rnacentral:rRNA from 1 species
ACUCCUACGGGAGGCAGCAGUGGGGAAUAUUGCGCAAUGGGGGAAACCCUGACGCAGCAAUGCCGAGUGAGUGAGGAAGGCCUUCGGGUUGUAAAGCUCUGUCAGAUGGGAAUAAUUGCUCAGGGUCCAAUAGGCCCCUAAGUUUGAAGGUACCUUCAAAGGAAGCACCGGCUAACUUCGUGCCAGCAGCCGCGGUAAUACGAAGGGUGCAAGCGUUGUUCGGAUUUAUUGGGCGUAAAGCGCGCGCAGGCGGAUUGUUAAGUCAGAUGUGAAAUCUCGGGCUCAACCCCGAAACUGCGUCUGAAACUGCCAAUCUAGAAUCUCAGAGGGGAGGGGGAAUUUCACAUGUAGGGUAAAAUCCGUAGAGAUGUGAAGGAACACCAGAGGCGAAGGCGCCCUCCUGGAUGAGUAUUGACGCUGAGGCGCGAAAGCGUGGGUAGCAAACAGGAUUAGAUA